ACCAUAUAAUGACAAAUUCCAGGUGUUCCAAGCUAGAUUCAGGAAUGGAAGAAGCACUAAAGAACACUACAAAUAUACGUUGGCUACUGGAGUGAACUAAAAACUUUCAGAAGAAAGUCAGUUUAUUUUUCAUAGAUUAUAGUAAAGCCUUUUCCUGUGUAGAUGAUGAAAAGGUAUUGUUCUAAGGAAAUGGGUGGACCAGAGCAUUUCAUUGACCAAAGGCACAGCUUGUACUAUGGGCUAUACAGGCUACUAUUAGGACAGAACACGGAGACAUGGAACUGCGGCAAAGGCGUCAGUUAGGAAUGUAUUUUGUCUAGUUAUCUAUUCAAUCCAUUUGCAGAACAUAUCGUAUGUAAAGAUGUAUUAGAUGAGUAUGAGAAACCCGUCCAUGAAUGAACAUGCUCUUUCCCGUCGUACAAGUACGGGAUCUAUUAGCAGCGAUCCGGAGGCGCUUCUAUUGGCCGCACCCAGAAAGAGGCCUGGCGAAGGUUUUCCACUUCGCGGCUGGCCGGGCCUGCAGACGGGCCUCCUCCUUCAGCGCAACUUCCCUUCGGAGGAACCCGCCCAGGCCGCGCCAUUUGAGGGGACACCAUGGUUUGCGCCUCGCUGCUGGGGCUCCGGGCAGCAGCCGCUGCGCCUCGGCUCUUGCGGGCAGGAAGCAGCCGCUGUUGCCGCCGGUGGAGCAGCGAGACGUGCGCCCCGCAGCCGAGCCCUGUGCGGAUCGGCUGUGCCUCAGGCUUCUGGGGAGACACGGCGGCCUCAGACUCAGGAAGAAGAAACCUGCCGCUUGUAUGCGCUUAUUUUACGAACAGGCGGAGCAGGCUUUGGCAUCAGAAACGAAGCGCCUCUUCAGAAUGGAGCCGUGCAAAACAAAUCCGAAAAGAAACUUCCCUCCACGACAAACAAGCUUGACUCAUGCUAAGUUUCCGUUUGAAUAACAUGAGGGUGAAAGGAAGAGAGAAUAAGACGCCAGAUGGCUCUUAACUUGGUUAUUUACUUGGUGUUUACACCAACUCAGAUUACAUGCAGUGCAGUCAAAGCUUGGUCGUGAGCCAGACUGAGUGGGAUUUAAAAGAAAGAGUGCAAAGGAUUGGAUUGCACCCUUCAACCGCCCCGGCAUCAAAACCAUCUAGUAUUAGCAUAUUCAUAGUUAAAGGGAUUGAUUAGAAUGAGAUAAAAUGUUAUUCUGAACCUGAGACCUAAUGAGGAUUUUGAAGCUAUUGAUGAAUAGGUUCAGAAGGAAAAGGAGGAGUCUUUAAUAGUACACACCUCAGCAAAUAGAAAUAUGAUGACUACAGUUCGGAGAGCUGCAUCUUUUUUGAGAAUACCAUCACAUUAAAAUGAUAUGUCUAUAGUCAAUG
rnacentral:lncRNA from 1 species